rnacentral:rRNA from 1 species
GAUAAACGCUGGCGGCGUGCCUAAUACAUGCAAGUCGAGCGAACGGACGAGAAGCUUGCUUCUCUGAUGUUAGCGGCGGACGGGUGAGUAACACGUGGAUAACCUACCUAUAAGACUGGGAUAACUUCGGGAAACCGGAGCUAAUACCGGAUAAUAUUUUGAACCGCAUGGUUCAAAAGUGAAAGACGGUCUUGCUGUCACUUAUAGAUGGAUCCGCGCUGCAUUAGCUAGUUGGUAAGGUAACGGCUUACCAAGGCAACGAUACAUAGCCGACCUGAGAGGGUGAUCGGCCACACUGGAACUGAGACACGGUCCAGACUCCUACGGGAGGCAGCAGUAGGGAAUCUUCCGCAAUGGGCGAAAGCCUGACGGAGCAACGCCGCGUGAGUGAUGAAGGUCUUCGGAUCGUAAAACUCUGUUAUUAGGGAAGAACAUAUGUGUAAGUAACUGUGCACAUCUUGACGGUACCUAAUCAGAAAGCCACGGCUAACUACGUGCCAGCAGCCGCGGUAAUACGUAGGUGGCAAGCGUUAUCCGGAAUUAUUGGGCGUAAAGCGCGCGUAGGCGGUUUUUUAAGUCUGAUGUGAAAGCCCACGGCUCAACCGUGGAGGGUCAUUGGAAACUGGAAAACUUGAGUGCAGAAGAGGAAAGUGGAAUUCCAUGUGUAGCGGUGAAAUGCGCAGAGAUAUGGAGGAACACCAGUGGCGAAGGCGACUUUCUGGUCUGUAACUGACGCUGAUGUGCGAAAGCGUGGGGAUCAAACAGGAUUAGAUACCCUGGUAGUCCACGCCGUAAACGAUGAGUGCUAAGUGUUAGGGGGUUUCCGCCCCUUAGUGCUGCAGCUAACGCAUUAAGCACUCCGCCUGGGGAGUACGACCGCAAGGUUGAAACUCAAAGGAAUUGACGGGGACCCGCACAAGCGGUGGAGCAUGUGGUUUAAUUCGAAGCAACGCGAAGAACCUUACCAAAUCUUGACAUCCUUUGACAACUCUAGAGAUAGAGCCUUCCCCUUCGGGGGACAAAGUGACAGGUGGUGCAUGGUUGUCGUCAGCUCGUGUCGUGAGAUGUUGGGUUAAGUCCCGCAACGAGCGCAACCCUUAAGCUUAGUUGCCAUCAUUAAGUUGGGCACUCUAGGUUGACUGCCGGUGACAAACCGGAGGAAGGUGGGGAUGACGUCAAAUCAUCAUGCCCCUUAUGAUUUGGGCUACACACGUGCUACAAUGGACAAUACAAAGGGCAGCGAAACCGCGAGGUCAAGCAAAUCCCAUAAAGUUGUUCUCAGUUCGGAUUGUAGUCUGCAACUCGACUACAUGAAGCUGGAAUCGCUAGUAAUCGUAGAUCAGCAUGCUACGGUGAAUACGUUCCCGGGUC